CGAUCCUGCCUCGGUGGAGAGCGGGGAGGGGGAGAAACAAACACAGCACCACGACACCCCCCCCCCCCCCCCCCCGCCCCCCCUCCUCCUGCCCUUUUGGGGAGAAAAACUGGGAAAACGGUUAAAAAUCUCCCCCUCCCUCCCUAGGGCCGAAAGGUCCGAGCCCCGCCUUUACCAAAAAGCCACGUUUUCCACUCAAAAUCCCACUGAAGGGACCCGGCCGAGCGCUGCUGCCGGAAGGGCCUGGCGCCGGCCGCUCAUUUUGGGGCACUUUGGGCCUUUUUUUAUGCUUUUGGUUUUUUUGCUUCCGAAUUUGUGAAUCCGGAGGGGAAAACCAAGCAAAAUUGGGGCUAAAUCGGUAAAAAAAUAAUAAAAACCAACACACCCUCCCUGGGCGAAAAAAACCACCACCGCCACCUGGAUCCUCGCGGCGCUCCGUGCCCCCGUUUUGGGUGAAAACCACCCGAAAUACCUAUUUUCUGCCUUUCCUACACGUUUUUGGGAGGUUUUGCUGCCGGGCUCUGCCUUUUUCGGGUCGGGCGUCCUCGCGCUGCCUCGUUUUUGGGGCAUUUUCCUGCGGAUCUCACUGAGCUGCGCGGAGAAGCCGGGGCCAGCGCCCAGCAGACCCCUUUUUUGGCCUUUUUUCCCCCAAAAAGGCGGCGGGGGUCGGGGCGCCCCCUCCUCAUCUUUACUUAGCGCUGGCCCAGAAGCUGCGGCUCGGGCGCCGUGGCUGCACCUGCGAGACAGAGCCCCCCCCGUCAGCCCCCGUUUGGGGUGAAAGCGCCGCGUUUGGGGAUUUUUGUGUUUUUUGGUGGUUUUUUUUUGUCCGAAUCCGGCUUUUUUUGCAUCCCUCCGCGCCGGUUUUGGGGUGGGGGUGGGUGGGGGGUCCCGGCGCGCCCCGGCUCCUCCCGGCACAACCGCCCGCCGCGCCCCCGACCGCCGCCACCUCCAAAACGGCCGGAAAUCGCCCCAAAAUCCGUGCCCCUCCCUCCGCCGCCUUUUUGGGGGUAAAAAGCGGCUUUUCUUCCAAGCUGGCACUGCCUCCUACCUCUGCAUCUGUGAAAAGGCCGGAAAACACCCCAAAAAA
rnacentral:lncRNA from 1 species